UAUAUAUUGUUUCCGUAAAGUAGAGAUCCAAAAAUAGGUUCACGAAUACCAUCAAUAUCUACUGGAGGUGCAGCAAUGAAGACAAUAAUAAAUAUAGAAGUUGCGGUCAAUGAAGUAGGGAUCAUCAAAACACCAAACCAUCCAAUGUAAAGGCUGUUUUUGGUGUUGGUUGUCCAAUUACAGAAUCGACCCCAUAGGCUUUCGCUUUCGCAUCUCUCUAAAAUUGCAUUCAUGGUAAAAUUUUGGUUUAUUUAAUAACUUGGAGUCGAC
rnacentral:lncRNA from 1 species